rnacentral:rRNA from 1 species
ACGGCUACCACUUCUACGGAAGGCAGCAGGCGCGAAAAUUAUCCAAUCCUGAUUCAGGGAGGUAGUGAAAGAAAUAAUGAACUAGGAUUUAUCCUGGGAUCACAAUGGGCUUGAUUUGCAAACUUUAUUAGCGAGGAACAAUUGGAGGGCAAGUCUGGUGCCAGCAGCCGCGGUAAUUCCAGCUCCAAUAGUGUAUAUUAAUGUUCCUGCAGUUAUUCGAUGCUCGUAGUUGGAUUUCUGGGGGCUGAUUCUGGACGGCGGCUAUGGCCGCCACCGGUUUCUUCCUUCAUCCACCUGUUAACGUUGUUCGAGAUUCAUUUCUCGGCUUCGGGCUCAGGUAUUUUACCCUUACUAUAUUCAUUUAUUUAUCUUCUUUUUGAGCAAAUUAUAGUGUUUCAGGCAGGCGUGCGCCGGAAUACUUUAGCAUGGAAUAAUCGAAUUGGACUGUGUUCCUUAUUUGCUGGUUUGAUGGGCACAGAAUGGUUAAUAGGGAUAGUAAUUUUCAGGGGAGGCAUUAGUAUUUAAUUUCCAGAGGUGAAAUUCUUUGAAAUAUUAAAGACUAACUUAUGCGAAAGCAUUUAUUUUGCCAAUAAUGUUUUCAUUAAUCAUUGAACGAAAGUUAGGGGAUCAAAGACGAUCAGAUACCGUCCUAGUCUUAACCAUAAACGUUGCCGACUAGGGAUCGGAGGGCGUGCACAUUCCGCCUUCGGCACCUUACGAGAAAUCAAAGUCUUUUGGGUUCUGGGGGUAGUAUGGUCGCAAGGCUGAAACUUAAAGGAAUUGACGGAAGGGCACCACCAGGAGUGGAGCUUGCGGCUCAAUUUGACUCAACACGGGAAAUCUUACCAGGUCCAGACAUAGCGAGGAUUGACAGAUUGAUAGCUCUUUCUUGAUUCUAUGGGUAUUUUUGGUGGUGCAUGGCCGUUCUUAGUUGGUGGAGUGAUUGUCUGGUUAAUUCCGUUAAACGAACGAGACCUCAGCCUGCUAAAUAGUUACUUGUCUUUCUUUUUACGAGACAUGUUAACUUCUUAGAGGGACGUUGUGUGCAACCACAAGGAAGUUGAGGCAAUAACAGGUCUGUGAUGCCCUUAGAUGUCCUGGGCCGCACGCGUGCUACACUGAUACGUACAACGAGGUAUAUGUAUUUAUACAUCGAUGCUGCUCCGAAAUAGACAAAGCUAAAUCUUCUAAAAUACGUAUCGUGCUGCGGAUAGAUCGUUGAAAUUAUGAAUCUUGAAGGUGGAAUUCCUAGUAAGCGCGGGUCAUCAACCCGCGUUGAUUACGUCCCUGCCCUUUGUACACACCGCCCGUCGCUCCUACCAAUUUCGAGUGGCUCGGUGAACCUCUUUGGACUGUCGAGCAAUCGCGAAAUUAGAGUGAACCUGGUCACUUAGAGGAAGGAGAAGUCGUAACGAGGUA